rfam:Virgibacillus soli strain PL205 scaffold000024, whole genome shotgun sequence.
AGGUAAGAAUCAAAGGCUAAGUUCACGACAUCCUGUCGCAACGCCUUUGUGACCUGCGUCCUGCAGG